UUCUCAUUCUCAAAUCCAGUAAAGCAGGCAAGCAGCCUCGAAUACCCUAAUUUUUCUUUCUAGCUUCUCUUCUCCUCUAACCUCGUCCUCUAGUCCUCCGCCUCUGCGACAUCACCAUCGCCAUCGUCAGCCGUCUUCUCCACUUCAAUCGAGACUCUAGUAUGAUUAGAGGAACCUUCAAAUGCAAAUGGAAAUGUCAAUUUUGAAGCAAGAAGCAGAACUUGCAGCCAUGGAAGCUUCAUCAAAUGAAGAAGAAGGUCUCUUUUAAGGGUCGCGUGACUAUCACGUGACGGUCAAAGGCCAAACUUAACGGUCAACUGUUAAAAUCUGUUAAAAGGUAGUGUUUUGCAAAGAAUUGUAUUAUACAAGGUAGUUUUUUGCAAAAAUUUUUACAUAAUGUAAUUUUUUAUUAUAGAUUAGAUAGUUUUAUCAUAUAUAUUAAAAUGUAUGUACCCUCACUUACAGGCGCAAAAAGCUAAUUAAAUCCAGCCAUGCUUGUGGGUCGGA